rnacentral:rRNA from 1 species
AGAGUUUGAUCAUGGCUCAGAACGAACGCUGGCGGCGUGGAUAAGACAUGCAAGUCGAGCGAGAUUUUUUUCUGUAGCAAUACAGGGAAAAGUCUAGCGGCGAACGGGUGCGUAACACGUGGGCAACCUGCCAAGAAGUGGGGGAUAGCUCGCCGAAAGGCGAAUUAAUACCGCAUGUGAUGAGAGUGGACAUCCAUUCAAAAUCAAAGUCGGGGCAACCUGACGCUUCUUGAGGGGCCCGCGGCCUAUCAGCUAGUUGGUGAGGUAACGGCCCACCAAGGCUUAGACGGGUAGCUGGUCUGAGAGGACGACCAGCCACACUGGGACUGAGACACGGCCCAGACACCUACGGGUGGCAGCAGUCGAGAAUUUUUCUCAAUGGGGGAAACCCUGAAGGAGCGACGCCGCGUGGAGGAUGAAGGUCUUCGGAUUGUAAACUCCUGUCAUUGGGGAACAAUGCGUAAAUAUUAACUGUAUUUGCGUUGAUAGUACCCGAAGAGGAAGAGACGGCUAACUCUGUGCCAGCAGCCGCGGUAAUACAGAGGUCUCAAGCGUUGUUCGGAUUCAUUGGGCGUAAAGGGUGCGUAGGCGGCGCGGUAAGUCGGGUGUGAAAUCUCGGGGCUUAACUCCGAAACUGCAUUCGAUACUGCCGUGCUUGAGGACUGGAGAGGAGACUGGAAUUUACGGUGUAGCGGUGAAAUGCGUAGAUAUCGUAAGGAAGACCAGUGGCGAAGGCGGGUCUCUGGACAGUUCCUGACGCUGAGGCACGAAGGCCAGGGGAGCAAACGGGAUUAGAUACCCCGGUAGUCC